rnacentral:lncRNA from 1 species
UGGUCAUCACUACAAUUUUGAGGAGCCACUGUUGUCUCAUCCUCUAUUAAUUCACUUCCCUAAUUGCAUCAUUGACUUGCCAACUGACGAUUGAAGCUAAGGAGCAAAACACAACAUAGUAAUAUUCUUUUCUUGUAAUUAUUUUUUAUGGUACUACACAUCAAUAAUUCCUAACUUUACUUAAAUAUAAUAUAGGUUAUCAACCCUGUUAGAUGGCUCAAAGAUAUUGUUGAAGAUCUAGGUGGUACUUCUUCUUUGGUGCAAUCUGAGAUUGUUGGUGCAAGGAACUUUAUGAGAAUGAAGAUCUUUUUUGACAUACCUGCUUGAGGACAGGCAAGAUCAAUGGUAUAAGUUACUGUGUGAGGUCAAGAAACACCAACUAGGUUGACUUUUGAAAUGUCUGAUGUGGAUGCCUGCCUACAACAGAUUAAGGAUCAUGGGUACAUUGUGUGACUUCUCAUAUUUUAGAAUAAGGGUGCUCGAGGAGGGAGAAUGCAAUGUGGUUGUAGCUUUGUCAGGUGAAUGAACAUGACAUGAUAUGGAACAUAUAUAAUCAUGAUUUUAUAUCUAGUUAUGGUACACGUUUUAACUUUGGUCGUGUUAUUCUCAUCUUUUAGGAUAUAUUUGGUCAAACCAUUGCGUCAAUGAGCAUUCAUGCGAUUAUGGCUCAAAUCUUGAAUGUGUUGAAAUUAUAGUUACAC